UCCCUUAUUCGCUUUGCAAUACCAUUCCGACUUUCUGACGUCUUCGAGCGUACACGUCUCGUCCAAAUCCUUUACGAGAAUAAGAUAAUACUAUAGUCACUAAACAAUAUAUCGCAUAUACAUAUCACGUAUAUCGAUACCCACUUAUAUACCCCUUUAAACUUAUCACAUAUCACUUAACACGUAAUCAUGCUUUGACUCUACCAUAUAGUCAAGUCAUAUUCCACAUAACAUAUUACCAAUCACUUAUCAUAUGAAUCCUAUCGAAAAUCCGACAUCGUCUCGUCUAUUUAUUAGACUAUCCACCUGUUAUCCUAUCUCAAUCAACAAUCAACCAACAAAAUCCAAUUACUAUAAUCCAUAUAUUCUUAUCCAAUAUCAAUCAACUCACGACACUAUGUCAUCCAAAUCUUUUAUCACACGUGUAUACUAUCAUGAAUAAACAUGUAUAUCACGUAAUCAUCAAUUAAUAGCAAUCAAAUAACAUAUAAUCACAUUGUGCACAUUUAACAACAAUUAUUCACAUUCUCGACUCCAUCAUAUUAUUAUGUCAUAUCAAACUAGACUUUAUAAGCUUUCAUCUCUCUUUCGUUUUACUUGAUUCCGACUUACGGAUCAAAAGAUAUGAUCAAAAUUGUUUCCUACUUCCUCUAUCAACACAUAACACAUCACUCUAAUAACACACAUCACAUAACACAUAAGAUUUCCCAUCCCGACUAAUGUCAAAUCGAGUCUCGGGUUUAAAAUAAUUUUUCGGAAUUUUCUGGAAAUUUUUAAACAUUUUUCGGAAUUAAAAUCGAUAAAAGAAUCACUUUUUAAAUAAAUAAUCGAGUCUGAACACUCGAAAUUGGACUUGAAAUCAUUUAUAAACAAUUGACGAGCCUUGAACAUAAUUUAGAAAAAUAUUUCAAAGCUCGAAACUAUUUUUCAGAAUUUUUAAAUCAAAAAGAAUAAUUAAAUCCAAUUAAUUAAUCAAUUAAAAUCAAUUAAUAAUUAAUUAAAAUAAUUAAUCAAUUAAUAUUUAAAUUAAUUGACCAAUUAAAAUAAUUAAUUACUAAUUAAAAUUAAUUAAUAAACUAAUUUAGAUUUAUUUUUUAAAUAAAGAAAUAAUUAAAAAUCAUUUUUGAAAUUUAAAAUAAUUAAAUAAAACAAUUUUUGAAAAUUAAAAUCAAAAGGUUUAAAGUGUAAAAUUUUGAAAGUUUUGUUCAGGGUUUAAAGUGUAACUUUCAGAAGUUACAGGGGCUGUUUCGUAAGUUUCAAAACCUCAGUACUCAAACUUCACCAUCUUCAUAAGUUGGGUGACCAAACGGCAAUUUGCCGCCGGCCACCACUAACUUCGCCGGAUUCGGCGUUCUUGGCGUCCAUUCGACACCAAAACCUCCAGAUAAACUCUAUAUGCUACCCACAACUCGUUUCUGAAAUCAAAAUCAUCAAACAAGGUCUAAAUUGGCCGUAAAAUCCGGCCAAAGUUCAUCCGCCGCCGGCGAGCUUUCAAGCUCCGGCGUGCUUUAAAAACGAAACCUCCCUACUUUUUGAGACCACCAAAUGAUUCCUCAUCUCCUAUUCUAUCUGUUUUCACCCUCCAUACAUCCCCAGAUUCAACCGUUUGCAAAGCCCCAAAAUCGAAUUGAAAACAUUCAAGAACACUCAAGAACACCCCUCAAGAAUCAAACCCACUUUUCUAGGUGUUAUGGAACUCAAAAAUCAACAUAUAAUAUACCAAAACGACGAGAAAAACAUGCUCUACAACAUGGAAUCAUCAAAACAAUCAAACAAACACGUUUGCAAAAAUUCACUAUUUAAAUCAUAAUAAUUCGAAUUUUAAAACUUCAAUUACUCCCUACCUGUGAAUCUCAUGUUGUUUUUGAUGAUUGAUUUGGGUUCUACUCUUCGAUAUCUUCGAUUUGACUAUUUGCACGCUUGAUUCUGACUCCAAUAACACCUUCAAAUCUUCGUUUGAUUAUGAAGAACACGAAGAACACCGCUCGGUUUCUCUCGGUAUUCGUGCAAAGAAACUGGUGAAA
rnacentral:lncRNA from 1 species